UUAAGCGACUAAGCGUACACGGUGGAUGCCCUGGCAGUCAGAGGCGAUGAAGGACGUGCUAAUCUGCGAUAAGCGUCGGUGAGGUGAUAUGAACCGUUAUAACCGGCGAUUUCCGAAUGGGGAAACCCAGUGUGUUUCGACACACUAUCAUUAACUGAAUCCAUAGGUUAAUGAGGCGAACCGGGGGAACUGAAACAUCUAAGUACCCCGAGGAAAAGAAAUCAACCGAGAUUCCCCCAGUAGCGGCGAGCGAACGGGGAGGAGCCCAGAGCCUGAAUCAGUGUGUGUGUUAGUGGAAGCGUCUGGAAAGGCGUGCGAUACAGGGUGACAGCCCCGUACACAAAAAUGCACAUAUUGUGAGCUCGAUGAGUAGGGCGGGACACGUGGUAUCCUGUCUGAAUAUGGGGGGACCAUCCUCCAAGGCUAAAUACUCCUGACUGACCGAUAGUGAACCAGUACCGUGAGGGAAAGGCGAAAAGAACCCCGGCGAGGGGAGUGAAAAAGAACCUGAAACCGUGUACGUACAAGCAGUGGGAGCCUCUUAAUGGGGUGACUGCGUACCUUUUGUAUAAUGGGUCAGCGACUUAUAUUCUGUAGCAAGGUUAACCGAAUAGGGGAGCCGAAGGGAAACCGAGUCUUAACUGGGCGUUAAGUUGCAGGGUAUAGACCCGAAACCCGGUGAUCUAGCCAUGGGCAGGUUGAAGGUUGGGUAACACUAACUGGAGGACCGAACCGACUAAUGUUGAAAAAUUAGUGGAUGACUUGUGGCUGGGGGUGAAAGGCCAAUCAAACCGGGAGAUAGCUGGUUCUCCCCGAAAGCUAUUUAGGUAGCGCCUCGUGAAUUCAUCUCCGGGGGUAGAGCACUGUUUCGGCAAGGGGGUCAUCCCGACUUACCAACCCGAUGCAAACUACGAAUACCGAAGAAUGUUAUCACGGGAGACACACGGCGGGUGCUAACGUCCGUCGUGAAGAGGGAAACAACCCAGACCGCCAGCUAAGGUCCCAAAGUCAUGGUUAAGUGGGAAACGAUGUGGGAAGGCCCAGACAGCCAGGAUGUUGGCUUAGAAGCAGCCAUCAUUUAAAGAAAGCGUAAUAGCUCACUGGUCGAGUCGGCCUGCGCGGAAGAUGUAACGGGGCUAAACCAUGCACCGAAGCUGCGGCAGCGACACUAUGUGUUGUUGGGUAGGGGAGCGUUCUGUAAGCCUGUGAAGGUGGCCUGUGAGGGUUGCUGGAGGUAUCAGAAGUGCGAAUGCUGACAUAAGUAACGAUAAAGCGGGUGAAAAGCCCGCUCGCCGGAAGACCAAGGGUUCCUGUCCAACGUUAAUCGGGGCAGGGUGAGUCGACCCCUAAGGCGAGGCCGAAAGGCGUAGUCGAUGGGAAACAGGUUAAUAUUCCUGUACUUGGUGUUACUGCGAAGGGGGGACGGAGAAGGCUAUGUUGGCCGGGCGACGGUUGUCCCGGUUUAAGCGUGUAGGCUGGUUUUCCAGGCAAAUCCGGAAAACCAAGGCUGAGGCGUGAUGACGAGGCACUACGGUGCUGAAGCGACAAAUGCCCUGCUUCCAGGAAAAGCCUCUAAGCAUCAGGUAACAUCAAAUCGUACCCCAAACCGACACAGGUGGUCAGGUAGAGAAUACCAAGGCGCUUGAGAGAACUCGGGUGAAGGAACUAGGCAAAAUGGUGCCGUAACUUCGGGAGAAGGCACGCUGAUAUGUAGGUGAAGCGACUUGCUCGUGGAGCUGAAAUCAGUCGAAGAUACCAGCUGGCUGCAACUGUUUAUUAAAAACACAGCACUGUGCAAACACGAAAGUGGACGUAUACGGUGUGACGCCUGCCCGGUGCCGGAAGGUUAAUUGAUGGGGUUAGCGGUAACGCGAAGCUCUUGAUCGAAGCCCCGGUAAACGGCGGCCGUAACUAUAACGGUCCUAAGGUAGCGAAAUUCCUUGUCGGGU
rnacentral:rRNA from 1 species